UAAUUUCCACAAAAUGUCCCUGGAUCUGAACAAUCCCCGCCCCUGGUUUACUUAAGUGACAGUAACAACAUCUUGUGUUCAACGGAUUCCAUUGUCCCAGCACACAUUGGUUUUGUCCUCAGCGGUCCUCAGUGUAUUAAGAGAUACGUAGGCAGAGGAGAGUGUUCGAAAAGGUAGCAGCCGAGGGAAUCAGUAAAACAGAACGGAAGGAAGUACUUUGAGAACUACUACCAAAGCAACAGAAGACCUUGGUUCCAGAGACUCAAGUUUCGAAGAAUAUCUGUCAUCGUAAUAAAUAGUACAAUAAAUGGUCAUUAUUGCUUAAAAGAGUACGCAAUUCGAUUUAAUAUCGUUAAUACAGAAAUGUUUGAAUGUGGCGAAACCAAAGGAACUAUAAACCACAUCUUACAGCAGUGUAAAUUAUUCGAGGUCAUAUGGUGGAUGACGAGAUGCAACAUAAAAUAUUUCCCCCGUAUUGUGAUGCAGCGAAGGAUCCUUGCCCUUUUAAUACAGUUUAAUUCAACCUGUAACGAUGUCAUAGCACUCCUUCAAAAUGGCUGCUAUGCUUGAUGUUCGACAAAAGAACGUGCUGUUACAGAGUUCUUGUGUUUUGAGAAUGGGACAGUGAGAAAUAUUCACAAGAGAUUGAAAAAUGUGUAUGGAGAUGAUGCUGUUGAUCGCAAUACAGUUAGUCGGCGAGCACACAGAUUAUCUGGUGAAAGUGAGCACGCCAAUAUUCGGGAAUCUCCUCGCACCGGUAGACCAAAUACUGCACAAACUCCUGACAAUGUGCAACGUGUUAAUGAUAUAUUUGGAGGACAGAUGUGUGACUGUGAAAGAAAUUUCAUCGAACUGGUAAUUGGGGAAGUAAGUGUGUGCAUAAUAUUGAAACAUUUGGGGUUGAAACACAUUUGUGCAAGGUGGGUUCCAAGGAUGUUGACAGAUGCCCACAAAGAAACCGGAAAAACUAUGUGCGGUGAACUCUUGGCACAGUAUGAGAAUGGCGAGAGACCAAGGACUGACUCCAUUCUUGUUCUCGUUCUGUGACUGACUUUAUUCUGUUCUGUACCCCUUAUACAUAUAUUAUCGAUAUGGACCACACAGAAAACACCGUCUCUCAACAAUUCGUAGGGGCUUUUACAGCUCCGUUGCCAAGAAAUGGACGUCUGGUGUUCCACACGUUUGCUUCUGCGGAAAUCUGUUUAGCAACCAGUUGCCUAGGUAUGGACAUGGCGUGGACCACAUUGAAAACAUUUCUUGCAAUACCUUUUCUAUUAUUGCAUUUGUGUAUUUCGGGUGCUGCCUAGAAAUGGGUCUACAUGUCACAAUAUAUAACGUCAUUACGUUUCACUAAAAACAAUUGCUCCUAUAUAUAAACACUGGCCAAUGUAGGAAUACUAGCAAGUGAAUACAGGUGAAUGUAAAACGUCAUAUACAAGUACAUGAUGUAAGAAGUGACGAAUGUAUGGUGUAUUCAUACUUCCUGUUGUGGUGACAGAAUAAAGUGAAGAAAAUUUUAUACACACAACAUGAUGUUAAAUGUAAUAUUUCUAAGAGAAACUGAAUUUUAUGACAAAAUUCUGACCACAGGGAUGACUGCUUAUUAUUUCAUCAUGAGCAUAUCUCCUCAUAUGAAGCCAGAUUCGCAUACAGUAAGGUGUACAUUAGAAUAGUAUAGCAGGUUUUCUUAAAUGAGGGAGAAUAACAGAGGCAGUCCAGUUCGGAAUCCUCUUGUCUAUGUGAAUAACCAUCACUGGAUUACACAGGACUUGCUAUUAAUAUAUAGCCACAACAUGCAUUGUAACUUUUUCCAUACAUUCAAAUUAUGCAUUAUUAUUUUCAACAUUGAAAAUGUUAUUAUUUGCGGGUGCAAAUGGAAUUAAACCGUUAGUAACAGAAAGUGUAAAAAUUUUCCGUAAGUAACAAUAUGUAGCAGUUUGUAAUUAUUGGUACCUUCGCUGCUAAGUAACCAAAGAUCUGUUUAUGACUUCGUUACCAUGGAAAUGUGCACAGCGAAGCAUGUAGAAGAAUCUGGACUUAUUGCGAGUGAGAUACAUUAAUGAAUGUGAGCUAUACGGCUAAUUCAAUUCCACUCUUUAGUAGAUGACGCAAUACUAUAGGCAAUCUGCCAGCAUAUGACGCCGGCAAUUGUCGUGCUGCAUAUAUGAGAGAGUACAGAAAAAGGGAGCAGUUAGAAGAUAAUUGUAAUAAUGUACCCAAACAAACAGAGUUAAAUGCCAAAUGACAGCAUGAAUAUUGAGAAACGCCUAACAUAUCUGCCGUAUUGUAACACACUAUGGAUUACUAUAACUAUAGCACACAAAAUAAAAUCUUCAAUGUCUACUUGCUAGUCAUUGCUCGAUAACAGAUCUUACCUGGUUAAUAUUUCACAACUGAAUAUUCGAUUACUGAACUAUUUUCUGAAUUCUAUUAUGAAUGAAUGUAUAGAACAACAACAAGUAACAGAAUUGUACACUGAAUUUAUUACCAGCAUCCCAUAUUUUAAGACAAGUGACUGAGUUGUUUUGGUUUGUCACCUGACCAUUCUUCUUUUUCUCCUCCUUUUCCUCCUCGGUGUUGUUGUUCUUGUUGCUCCCACUUGGGCAUCCGUGAAGUGCUUCAGUUUCUUAAUCUAAGCAGUUAGCAGGACUCCUUGCAUGGGGGAUCAGCCCAUUGUAAGGUCACUACCUAAUACAGACACAGAAUAAACACAAAAGGUUUCCACACCUUGAGUGGGAUUCGAACCCAUGAUCCCCGUGUUUGAAUGGGCAAAGACAUUUUAUGCCUUAGGCUGCAUGGCUGUCUGACCAUUAGAUGUGCUAUAUCUUGUAGUACCGUACUAAUUGUACAUUGUACUCUAGUAAAACCCUCAAAUUGUAAGACACCAAUUUGUGAACUGUGUUCUACAGUGCUAAAACUUAACCAGUUUUCCAACAGCCAGAAAAUUUUCUCCUUAACUUAUGUUUAAGCCUUUUUAUUUUUACAGAUAGCUCUGGAGCAUUCAGGGCACAGGAAUAAUAAAAAACUUUUUAUUUUUUAUUAUCAUUUGAUAGACCAACUUAUAUUCUUCAAUUUAAUUUAAUGUUUCAAAUCUAUGGAGGAGGUAAAGGCAAAUGACUGGUUUCCUUCCUGCUGGCACCAAUAGCUGGAAGAUUUUGAAUGAAAUAUAUGUUCCUAUCAUGCAAUUUUUUAUUGAACCUCAUAUUUCUGUUCACUGCUCAAAAUUGGACCUAUAUAAAACAUUAUUUUCCACUCCAAUUUUUAAGCAAUUUUUAACAUUAUAAAUACCACAAGUUUUUAUAUAUUAAAUAUUUAAAUAUUUAUCACAUUCAUGGAAGAUAUGAAAAAUCUCUUUAAUGAUAUUAACUUAUCAAAUACAUAGAAAGCAACUAUUUGAGAGACAGAUAACCACAGAUUAGCAAUUUUUUAAAUCAGAAUAAAGUUACUUACAAUUCCAGGAGGUGAAUUGUGAAAAAUGGAGGUUGAGACAUUAACUGAAAUCUAGAAUUACAGCACUGAUAACUAGAAAAGGGUGUAGGUUAUAGACUGUGAAUGGAACCAUUUCAUACCAAAACUACUAGUACCAAUAAACUAAAAAAAAAA